GCAGAUUGAAGUGCUCCCUACUGGAUUGCUGUCUGCUUUUUCUUCUGAGGAAUUAAUUUAGAUGCUGAAAGCAAAUUAGCAGGGAGCACGGCAUGAGGUAGACACCAGGCAUGCCUCGGAGCCCAACACAGGUGUCACCUUCACGUGGCCACCCUGGAUUUACCAGACAGUGCUGACCCACAGGAAUUAUCUACCGUUUGACCUGUGCCUUCGUUAGAGCAGCCGCAAUUUUCAAAUCACUCCAGAAUAUGUUCCCCUAAGAAGCUUGACAUUCACCACCGUGUCUUUCACAAGCAGAAGCCAAGGGCCACUACCCCAAUUCAGGUCUUCAUCAUUUCUGACUGAAGUGCGGCAGGAGAUGUUGACCAGUUCUCUGUGCCUUUGGUUUUGUCCCUCUCCAGCUGGCUCUCCAGACAGCCAUGAGGGAGACAAGAUUAGGCCACCUGAGCCAUAUUUCUUUUUGUUAAAACAUAUGU